GAUGAACGCUAGCGGCAGGCUUAAUACAUGCAAGUCGAGGGGUAGCAAGAUUGUAGCAAUACAAUUGUUGACGACCGGCAAACGGGUGCGGAACACGUACACAACCUUCCUACAAGUGGGGAAUAGCCCAGAGAAAUUUGGAUUAAUACCCCGUAACAUAGCGAUGUGGCAUCACAUUGCUAUUAUAGCUUCGGCGCUUGUUGAUGGGUGUGCGGCUGAUUAGAUAGUUGGCGGGGUAACGGCCCACCAAGUCUACGAUCAGUAGCUGAUGUGAGGGCAUGAUCAGCCACACGGGAACUUAGACACGGGCCCGGCUCCUACGGGAGGCAGCAGUAAGGAAUAUUGGACAAUGGACGCAAGUCUGAUCCAGCCAUGCCGCGUGAAGGAUUAAGGUCCUCUGGAUUGUAAACUUCUUUUAUAAGGGACGAAAAAAGGUCUUUCUAGAUCGUCUGACGGUACCUUAUGAAUAAGCACCGGCUAACUCCGUGCCAGCAGCCGCGGUAACAC
rnacentral:rRNA from 1 species